UGCAUAACUGAAAUUAUGUGAUGUGUCAUAACUUUGAUUCAUCUUGUUGAUUUUUAGCCCUGCCGUACCAGUGAUAUUUGAAAAGACUAAUGAAAUUAAUUGUUGGUGAUAAUGCAAGAAAGGAUUGACAUGGGUGUACGGGACCAAAAACAUCAGGAUGCGGACACAAUUUUGCUCGACGAAAGUGGAAAUCCUUUAAAUGCAGUGUCGUAGUUAGACAUGAGGAAAGACAUGAACUUCUGGGGAGCAUAGUUCCUAACGCCAAAGGCGUGAGUCUUUCUAGCGAGGUUUAUAAAGUCAUGCUCACGCUUGGAAAAUUUCUAAAUCUGGAGUUCGUCAAUAACCAUUACCAGUGUUUCUGAUAUGUGAUUUUCCAUAAUUCUUAAAGAUUUUUUGUUUGUUUUAUCCUGAAAUCUGAAAUAGCGUUCCUCACCAGCAAUAGCAACUAAAAUCCCGCCAAAAUGGUGAAACACUUCAAUAAGACGCAAACCGAUACAACGGCAACGGUAUUUCUUUUUAUUUGCAACUUAAUACAUCAUAAAAAGAUAUUUAAAUUCGUAAUCAUAAAUUGUCGAGAACAAUUAUUAUAAUAUAGGUCAUAAUUUUACCACAGCCAAUUCUUUUUACGAAGUCACGUUGUCAAUUUAUCUUUGAAGAAGCGUCCCACGACUCCAUGUACAAAAUACCUUUGAAAAUAUAAGAAAAAAUUCAAGCAUUUUCAGUAAGCACGAAAUUCCUCGGUGCAAACUUCCCAAAGCCGUCGCAAAGUUCAAAGAAGACAUAAAGGAGCCUCCGUCUUAUAAAAAAAGAGAAGUUCAAAGUAUUUGUUACAGUAUAGUUUGACUAUUGUCUCUAGCCCUGUGGGUACAACAUUGAAGACAAUGAUUAGUUUGUUACUGUACCUAAGUAUAUCAAAACAACGUGAUGUUAUUAUCUAUGAUAUUAAAAUAUGAAAGAAACUA